CAGUAGCCGCGGUAAUACGAACCGUGCGAACGUUAUUCGGAAUUACUGGGCUUAAAGCGCGUGUAGGCGGGCCGGCACGUCCGACGCUGAAAUCCCCCGGCUCAACCGGGGAAGUGGCGGGGAUACGACCGGCCUCGAGGGGGGUAGGGGGACCUGGAACUUCCGGUGGAGCGGUGAAAUGCGUUGAGAUCGGAAGGAACGCCCGUGGCGAAAGCGAGGUCCUGGACCCUUUCUGACGCUGAGACGCGAAAGCCAGGGGAGCGAACGGGAUUAGAUACCCCUGUAGUCCCUGUCUCUUAUU
rnacentral:rRNA from 1 species